rnacentral:rRNA from 1 species
AUGAACGCUGGCGGCGUGCCUAAUACAUGCAAGUCGAGCGAACAGAUGAGGAGCUUGCUCCUCUGACGUUAGCGGCGGACGGGUGAGUAACACGUGGAUAACCUACCUAUAAGACUGGGAUAACUUCGGGAAACCGGAGCUAAUACCGGAUAAUAUAUUGAACCGCAUGGUUCAAUAGUGAAAGACGGUUUUGCUGUCACUUAUAGAUGGAUCCGCGCCGCAUUAGCUAGUUGGUAAGGUAACGGCUUACCAAGGCAACGAUGCGUAGCCGACCUGAGAGGGUGAUCGGACACACUGGAACUGAGACACGGUCCAGACUCCUACGGGAGGCAGCAGUAGGGAAUCUUCCGCAAUGGGCGAAAGCCUGACGGAGCAACGCCGCGUGAGUGAUGAAGGUCUUCGGAUCGUAAAACUCUGUUAUUAGGGAAGAACAAAUGUGUAAGUAACUAUGCACGUCUUGACGGUACCUAAUCAGAAAGCCACGGCUAACUACGUG